rnacentral:rRNA from 1 species
AGUGGCGCACGGGUGAGUAACGCGUAGAUGACGUGCCUUUUAGUGGGGGAUAACAUCGGGAAACCGGUGCUAAUACCGCAUAAGCUAGAUGAUAUUGAAAUAGUUUAGGAAAGGGGGCUUCGGCUCUCGCUAAGAGAUCGGUCUGCGUGACAUUAGCUUGAUGGUGGGGUAAUGGCCUACCAUGGCUACGAUGUCUAGCUGGUCUGAGAGGAUGAUCAGUCACACUGGAACUGAGACACGGUCCAGACUCC